rnacentral:rRNA from 1 species
GAUGAACGCUGGCGGCGUGCUUAGCACAUGCAAGUCGAACGGGAUCCAGGCAGCUUGCUGCCUGGUGAGAGUGGCGAACGGGUGAGUAAUGCGUGACCGACCUGCCCCAUACACCGGAAUAGCUCCUGGAAACGGGUGGUAAUGCCGGAUGCUCCGACUCCUCGCAUGGGGUGUCGGGAAAGAUUUCAUCGGUAUGGGAUGGGGUCGCGUCCUAUCAGGUAGUCGGCGGGGUAACGGCCCACCGAGCCUACGACGGGUAGCCGGCCUGAGAGGGCGACCGGCCACAUUGGGACUGAGAUACGGCCCAGACUCCUACGGGAGGCAGCAGUGGGGAAUAUUGCACAAUGGGCGCAAGCCUGAUGCAGCGACGCCGCGUGCGGGAUGACGGCCUUCGGGUUGUAAACCGCUUUUGAUCGGGAGCAAGCCUUCGGGUGAGUGUACC